rnacentral:rRNA from 1 species
GAUGAACGCUGACAGAAUGCUUAACACAUGCCAGUCUUUGGCGAAGCUGUGCUUGCACAGCCUAGCCAAGGCGGACGGGUGAGUAACGCGUAAGGAACUUGCCCUGCAGUCAGGGAUAACAGACGGAAACGACUGAUAAGACCUGGUAAAGUCAGGCGGACUCAUGUCCAGCCUGAUGAAAAGAGAUGCUGCAGGAGAGCCUUGCGUCCUAUUAGCUUGUUGGUGGGGUAACGGCCCACCAAGGCGAUGAUAGGUAGCCGGCCGGAGAGGGUGGACGGCCACAAGGGGACUGGGAGACGGCCCUGACGCCUACGGGAGGCAGCAGUGGAGAAUAUUGGACAAUGGGGGCAACCCUGAUGCAGCAAUUCUGUGUGCACGAUGAAGGUUUUCGGAUUGUAAAGGGCUUUCAGCAGGGAAGAAAAAAAUGACGGUACCUGCAGAAGAAGCGACGGCUAAAUACGUG